rnacentral:rRNA from 1 species
CCCUUAGAUGUUCUGGGCCGCACGCGUGCUGCACUGAGUGGAUCAGCGGGUCAGGUUGCGCGAAAGCGUUUCCUAAUCUUGAAAUCCGCUCGUGAUGGGGAUUGACGGUUGCAAUUUUCUGUCAUGAACGAGGAAUACCUUGUAAGCGCGAGUCAUCAUCCCGCGCUGAAUACGUCCCUGCCCUUUGUACACACCGCCCGUCGCUCCUACCGAUUGAGUGGUCCGGUGAGGCUUUGGGAUCUGAGCGGAAAGAGCGUUUCGCUCGUUCUGCCCGGAAAACUCAGUCGAACCUUAUCAUUUAGAGGAAGGAGAAGUCGUAACA